AGCGAGGUUUAAACCCUAUAAGGGUGGGGAAGCCAGGUAUCCCGGCGGGCUCAUAACUUUUAAGGUAAGAUACCCGCAGAUCGGUGGUUCGAAAGGUAAAACCGAAAGUCCACCCCCCGCUA
rnacentral:tRNA from 1 species